CCGACCUUAGCUCAGUUGGUAGAGCGGAGGACUGUAGUAGCUCGCAGAUAAAUCCUUAGGUCGCUGGUUCGAAUCCGGCAGGUCGGA
rnacentral:tRNA from 1 species